rnacentral:rRNA from 1 species
CAGUAGCCGCGGUAAUACGAAGGGGGCUAGCGUUGCUCGGAAUUACUGGGCGUAAAGGGCGCGUAGGCGGACAGUUCAGUCGGGGGUGAAAGCCCGGGGCUCAACCUCGGAAUUGCCUUCGAUACUGGCUGUCUUGAGUAUGAGAGAGGUGUGUGGAACUCCGAGUGUAGAGGUGAAAUUCGUAGAUAUUCGGAAGAACACCAGUGGCGAAGGCGACACACUGGCUCAUUACUGACGCUGAGGCGCGAAAGCGUGGGGAGCAAACAGGAUUAGAUACCCCAGUAGUCCCUGUCUCUUAUAC